GCUGGUGUUGACCUUAGACAAAGGUCGAUUUUUAUGCCCUGGUCCUGACCACAACAAAUAAUUGCUGCCCAAGUGGGGAGCUGAUGAAGUUGUGGGAGAACGGGUGAUUCUGAAAUAGCUGGGAAGUUCCUCAGAUGUCUCGAAACGAAGUACUAGGUCAACCCUAGUCUACUGUGGGGCCAUGAUAUCAUCCUUUACAGUGUCCCCAAUGCCAGGGAAAAUCUCAGAAGCUAUGACUGAUAUGCAAGACCCCAGGGCCUUGGUAUUUUAAGUCAAACAUGGAAGACCCUCACUGGGACUAGAGGCAUCUUCCCUUUCCAAUCUCUUACCUCAUGAACAAGAGAAUUGCGGCUGGGGAGAUGAUUUGCUUUGACAAUACAGAGGUACUGUUUUAAAUGGUAUCACUUCAGAUAUUCAAGGUUGUGGAGUAGGAAUAUGUUAUCAAUGGAAAAGCUUCAUCAUCGCUCUUGCCCAGGCAUUGAGUGCCCAACCCUUUAUGACUACCAAAGCUGCAUCUCUUCAUCGUGCGUACCCUGGAAAGGAGGCGGGAGAAAGGAAGAUGAUGAGGUCACCAUGUCAAGAACAGGCAAUAAAUAGAAGGUAUUGAAUGCUGAACCUAGCAGGCACUGGAGUAAGCUCUCGUGAAGCAGUGAACAAAGCAAAGAUCCUUACCACGUGCUUUACAUGGGAGUGAGUGAAAAUACACAACAAUAAAUGUAAUAAAUAAUUACACUCUGUAGAAUGUUUAAAAGAUCUUAUGGAGGGUGGAAAUAGGAAAACAAAGAAAUUUGAGGUGAUAAAGGAAUGGAUUGCAAUUUCAAAUAAGAUGGAGAGAGUGGGUGGUUGGCUCAGUGGGUUAAGCCUCUGCCUUCAGCUCAGGUCAUGA